CCGCCGGUAGCGUAGUGGUUAUCGCACCAGACUGGUAUUCUGGAGGUCGUGGGUUCGGACCCACCCGGCAGG
rnacentral:tRNA from 1 species